GUCAGGCGGGGUGGCGCACUCCUGUAAUCCCAGCGGCUUAGGAGGCUGAGGCAGGAGAAUCAUGAGUUCAAGACCAGCUUCAGCAAGAGUGAGGCACUAAAGCAACUCAGUGAGACCCUGUCUCUA
rnacentral:sRNA from 1 species